GGUGCUGCAUGNCUGUCGUCAGCUCGUGUCGUGAGAUGUUGGGUUAAGUCCCGUAACGAGCGCAACCCUUGUCCUUAGUUGCUAACAUUUAGUUGAGAACUCUAAGGAGACUGCCGGUGACAAACCGNAGGAAGGUGGGGACGACGUCAAGUCAUCAUGGCCCUUACGACCUGGGCUACACACGUGCUACAAUGGGGCGCACAGAGGGUUGCCAACCCGCGAGGGGGAGCUAAUCCCACAAAACGUCUCGUAGUCCGGAUUGGAGUCUGCAACUCGACUCCAUGAAGUCGGAAUCGCUAGUAAUCGCGAAUCAGAAUGUCGCGGUGAAUACGUUCCCGGGCCUUGUACACACCGCCCGUCACACCAUGGGAGUGGGUUGCAAAAGAAGUAGCUAGACUAACCUUCGGGAGGU
rnacentral:rRNA from 1 species